CACCGCGGUUAUACGAGAGGCUCAAGUUGACAGACGACGGCGUAAAGCGUGGUUAAGGAAAACACACAACUAAAGCGGAACCUCCUCCUAACUGUUAUACGUUUCCGAGGAAGUGAACUCCAACUACGAAAGUGGCUUUACCUAACCUGAACCCACGAAAGCUAAGAAA
rnacentral:rRNA from 1 species